rnacentral:rRNA from 1 species
AAUGAACGCUGGCGGCAGGCCUAACACAUGCAAGUCGAACGGAUCCUUCGGGAUUAGUGGCGGACGGGUGAGUAACGCGUGGGAACGUGCCCUUUGGUUCGGAAUAGCCUCAGGAAACUGGGAGUAAUACCGGAUAAGCCCUUCGGGGGAAAGAUUUAUCGCCAAAGGAUCGGCCCGCGUUGGAUUAGGUAGUUGGUGGGGUAAUGGCCUACCAAGCCGACGAUCCAUAGCUGGUUUGAGAGGAUGAUCAGCCACACUGGGACUGAGACACGGCCCAGACUCCUACGGGAGGCAGCAAUGGGGAAUCUUAGACAAUGGGGGAAACCCUGAUCUAGCUAUGCCGCGUGAUCGAUGAAGGCCUUAGGGUUGUAAAGAUCUUUCAGUUGGGAAGAUGAUGACGGUACCAACAGAAGAAGCCCCGGCUAACUCCGUGCCAGCCGCCGCCGUAAAAC